GCGCCCAUAGCUCAAUUGGAUAGAGCGUUGGACUACGAAUCCAAAGGUCGCAGGUUCGAAUCCUGCUGGGCGCA
rnacentral:tRNA from 1 species